rnacentral:rRNA from 1 species
GACGAACGCUGGCGGCGUGCUUAACACAUGCAAGUCGAACGCUGAAGCUUGGUGCUUGCACUGGGUGGAUGAGUGGCGAACGGGUGAGUAAUACGUGAGUAACCUGCCCUUGACUCUGGGAUAAGCCUGGGAAACGGGGUCUAAUACUGAAUACGACAUGUCACCGCAGGGGGGUGUGUGGAAAGGUUUUUACUGGUUUUGGAUGGGCUCACGGCCUAUCAGCUUGUUGGUGGGGUAAUGGCUCACCAAGGCGACGACGGGUAGCCGGCCUGAGAGGGUGACCGGCCACACUGGGACUGAGACACGGCCCAGACUCCUACGGGAGGCAGCAGUGGGGAAUAUUGCACAAUGGGCGGAAGCCUGAUGCAGCGACGCCGCGUGAGGGAUGACGGCCUUCGGGUUGUAAACCUCUUUCAGCACGGAAGAAGCGAAAGUGACGUUACGUGCAGAAGAAGCGCCGGCUAACUACGUG